ACCAGCGGCCGCAUCCGGCGCGGACUGCGGAAGAAGGCGUGGCGCCGGGCGCCCAGGGCGCUCAGCUGCUUCAUCCUCCGCUCCUUGGAGCGCCGGUUCUGGAACCAGACCUGCAGCACAUGGCGGCGGGGUGAGGCCACCGAGACUUCACCCCCGACCCCGGGGUGCUCCGGGCCUAGCCAGCACCCCUCCACCGCCCGGCUAGCCGACACCGCGCGCGCGCGCUUGUGUGUGUGUGUAGGGUAGUGGUGACGGUGCGAUCUCUGACUAGGACCACUCAGGGCGGACCCUGAGCCAAUGGUGAGCAGGAAUCCCACAGGAGGACCUGAACAGGCCGCUGUGUCUGGAGGGGGACAGUUGUGGUAUAGCUGGAGUUUUUCUAACAGUCACACUAUCACAGUUACCGCUUCUCUGGGGCUGUACACACAUAGAGACUACGCCUCUCCAAAAUAAUGUCAGACACACACCGCGUUUCCAUUUCACGGUCUCUUGCAGCAACCCUCCCCCCAACCAUGACAGAGACACAGAAGCAGCCUAUGAUACCAAAACCUACAAUCUCCUUUUCACACCCAUGUACAAUCUCACAGUGCCAAACAUAGUUAUCCACAGCCUCUUGCCAAUAGUGACACAGACACACGACUUCUCAUUCACGUACACAGGUUCUCACAGUCUCCUGUAGGCCUCAGGGCCUUCCGUGUUGCACACAUGUGCACAUGCACAGCCAGCCUCCCAGGCAGGUACAUCCACCCACAGCCACGCAGGGCAUCAGGCCCGGUGAACCGGGAACCUGGCACUGAGCCAGAGACUCCCCCUGGCCUGGAGCUUCAGCAGUCUCAUCUCCUUUCCGCCCACAGGCCCAGCUGCCUCCAGGUAGGCUCCCAUCCCCAAAUUUCACUCCAACCCGCUGGAAGCAGAGCUGACUCCCGGCGGAACCACCUCUCUUUGGAGGGGAAGUCCCUGAUCUGGGGCUUGUCUAAUUGGAGCAAGCGAUCACAAAGUUGGAGUUGCAGACUUAGGAAGAGUUCACUUUGUGCAGAAGGCAGAGGGACUGAUUGACUCUGGGGGACACUGAGACUUCUCUGACCCUUCCGAACCCGAGGUGGGGUGGGGUAUGUGCAGAAAGAGGGCUCCCCACUCUCUCCAGAGUGUUCAACAGUUCUCCUCCUCCAGCCUCUGGCUGAACUCCCGUCCCUCCCCCUCCACUGCCACGAUCACCUCUGUUGGGCUGGGAAGAGGACUUUCUAGAUGCUCGAAGGCAUCAGGCAUUUCAUAGGUCCCGCAGGCUCGGGGUGUGUCUAGGCACCCCACCUCUGGACUCCAUCUCUCACUUCUCUCUGGAUUCUGGGCUCUCCCGGCUCGGCCUGGGUGCCCAAAGUGGCAGUGUGGGCCUCUAUGGGAUGGAGAGGCGCGCCGGGGCCUGACCUGAAUGACGCGCAUGUUGAGGCCGGUCUCCUGCGCCAGCUGCUCGCGGAUGUGGCGGGUGGGCUUGGGUGUAGCAGCGAAGGCGGCCUUCAGCGUCUCCAGCUGCUUGGCUUUGAUGGUGGUGCGCGGUCCCCGCCGCUUGGCGCCCAGGUUCUGGUCGUCAUUCUCGUUGCUACCCCCUUCCUUGUCCGACACGUUGGCGCUCUCCGAGUCCUUGGCGUCGUCCUGCGACGGGUCUUGGGAAUCCGGAGACAAACUGGGGUCACUGCCCGUGGUGGCUAAGAGGGAAAGGACAGAUGAGCCGGGGCCUUGGCGAGCCUUCCUCCCCCAGGACCCGCUUGCACCUAGCCAGCCAGGAAUUGGGGCCUCACCCGAGUGAAGGCUGUUCUCUUUGGCAACACUGCUGUUACUUAGGUAAUCCUCUUUGCAGACGAACUUAUUCUCGUCGAUGAUGUAGAGUUCCUCGCCAGUGGAGAGCUGCUUGUUACACAUCAUGCAGGUGAAGCAGUUCAGGUGAAACACUUUGCUCCGCGCUCUCCGCACCAGGUCGCUAGGGGAGAUGCCCUGCGCGCAGCCUGCGCAUUUGGUACCGAAACACCUGCGGGGGGUGGGGGUGGGGGGCGGGGGCGGGGAUGGGUCAGCCAGGGGCAAGGGACAGGCGGAGAGAAAGAUGACAGCGAGAAAGAGGGAAGAUGUGAAAAGUGGAGGAAGUAGGAGAGGAGGAAUGGAGCACAGAAAGAAGGGAAGAGAGAGAUAAAGAGAGGCAGAAUUCCGGUUAAGCAGGUGAGGAGGCAGCAGGAGAGAGAGCGCGGCACCAGGGAAGAGUCAGGGAGGAGAUACACGCGGUUAGAGCCAGGGGCCCAAGCUACCCCCCAAGCCCCAGCCUCACUCCCAGCGUUAUCCCAGAGGAAAGAUGCAUCGUCUAAAGAAGGUGGCAAGGCAGUGACCUGUGUGGGCGGGGGGAACAGGGGCACUUAUUUUCCGAUUAGAUUCAGAAAAGUCGAAUUACAAUUAGAACUCUAUACAAACGUGCGCGGAGCGCCGCUUUUCUCUCCUUCAUCGCAAAAGGACCCGCACAUAGGCGUGGGGUUGGCGAUGUCUAGCCCCGCUGUUGGUAAACAAACAUAGCCGCGGGGAGCCCCCCCCCCCCACCCCGUAGCCUUAGCUGGGCCGCCGCCACGCUCUUGCCUAAAGCGGGACAGGUUGGCAAAAGCGGGAGCUGCGGGAGCUGGCUCUGGGCGCUCUGCCGCGGGUUGUGGAAGCCGGGCUCAGGGACCCACUGGCAGCGGGUACGAGUACGGUUUGCCACCCUCCCGCUAUGAUCCAGUCCUUGAGGAAAACCGGGCAGCCCGCGGAGGCUCAGAGGCUCAGCCUGCGCGUUCUCCCGAAAUACCAGCGAGCACGGAGCUUUGCUUCAUGGUUCCACGCAACCCAACCCCAGCCACGAGUCCUGGAGCGGCACUGGGGACAGCGCGUCUUGGCCCUCUGAGUGGCUUUGAAUCCCUCUUCCUCCUGCUCCCUGGUUUGAACUAUGACCACAAACUCAGAAAAGCAGAGACCAAGUCAGCCGAGUAAAUUGCGAUAUUUCACAUCCGUAGGGUGGAAUUACAAUUCGCAUUUGUGCCCGUUCUUCUCUGUUGACUUGUGUGUUUGUGUGAAUGGAGCGGCAAAAUUGUGAGUGUACGAUAAUAUAAUUAAAAUGCUAAACGAAUAAGUGGGGUAGGGAGAAGUCUCCCCACCAGCAAGCUGGAGGUCUCGGCUUUCCCCCAGGUUUCAUCAAGGAGGUUGCUGGCUGUGGCUGGCAGUUUCCUAGGAGGACUACUGAGCGGAGCCCGUGGGAGUCGGAGUCGCCUGGGGCUGAAGCCGAACCACCAGACAACUUCGGCAGCCAGGGAAGCAGGAAAAAGCUCCGGGCACUUCGCAGGCUACAGUGCAGCUGUUUGUCCAGGUCUGCACUCGGAGGCAUGUCCGGGUUUGGGGAAGACCCCCGGGCGUGCAGGAUCGGCUUUAAGGCCGAGUUCUUUCCUGCCGCUGACAGGGCAGUUGGCCCAGACACUCUACGCAAAAGGCUCGGAGCUUCCCGCCAAGACCGCUCGGGGUCGGAAAAGGUAGUGGCUGGGAGGGAGCCUGGGCUCUGCCUGGAGGGCAAACAACCCCGAAGGCCUGGAGAAUGCAGUUGCUGCAGAGCUUGGCUCCGGGAAAGACAGCAGUCCGGGCUACAACGCCCGAGGCUGCCCUGUCUCUUCCAAGCUUGAAGGGGCUUCUGGGCCGAGUCAGGCUCAGACCCUUUCUUCCCAGGCACAUGCAGCCAAACCCAGACCCAUAGUUUCCAGGAUGCAAGCAGGGCCGCGUCCCGGGCUCCCAGCGCGCCAGCUGGCGGAGAGGCGGGCGCUCGCGGGACUUGGCUGCCCUCUCUAGAAGCAGUUCCUAACUGGGCAGCGAGGCCACGCUAACCUCUGAUCCGAAGCUGGCCGGGAAGGGCCCGCGGGGAGGUAGCAGCAGAGGCGUGGGAGGAAAGUACUCACCGGAAGAAGUCGUUCUUGCAGUACAGUUUGCCUUCCCUGGAGAAGCACUUCUCGGUCAGGUUGCAUUUACAUUCACAGCACUGGACGCACUUGACGUGCCAGGCCCUGUCCAGCACGUUCAAGAGAAAGCGGUCCAGGAUGGGCCUUUUGCAGCCGGCACAGUGAACCAUGGUCUUUGGUUUGGUCUGAUGAGGCCCAGAGAGAGAGAGGGGCAAAGUAGAGCCCAGGGGAUGACUCCUGAAGACAACCGGCACGAGCUCCCCAGUCUCUCCAAAAAGAGGACACACACUCGGCCGUGCAAGCCAAAACUCGCACCAGGAAAUCAAAGUAGGGUGGAGGAAACGAGGCUGAUCGGGGCCUGGGGGGUGUCUCAGUGAAGUGUGCAGCCGGGGAGUCCUGGGGCCCCGGGCUGGAGCGGCGCCGCCUGAGCUCCCGGGGCGAGGAAAAGAAGUCUCAGGCGGGAGAGAAUGCGACCCUUCUGCUCAGAGCCCGCGGAGGAGUGAAGGUCAGCGAGAACGGCGGCGGGAACGGAAAUAAAUAAAUAAAAACGGAGAAGAAGAAGAAGACGACUUGCCGAGCUCGGGUUGCGAGGAAAGCGCCGCUGAGUUCUCCGGCGCUUGAGGUAGAGCUGUCAGAAGUCAAAGUGCAUCUGCUUUUGUCGGGGUAUGAGGGCGAGUGUGUGCGUGCCAGGCUGCCCACCACUGGGAUUUCCCCCCUCUUUUUUUAAAAAAGGGAAGGAAAGAACAAAAGGAGCAGAGAAGCUUUGGAUCCUAAACUGCCGGCAUCGCGCCGCGGGUCUGGACGCGCCGAGCGCCCGCGCUGGGCCUGGGGGAGGGGGCGAGGGCCGACCGCGGGAGAAGGGAAAGAGGGGAGGGUAGGAGGAAGAUCUUGGUGUUGAUUGCUGUUGUUGCUUAGGUUUCCCCGCUUUUGGAGAAGUGUUUGUGUCAAUCGAAAACAGAGAGGGACAACUCCGUGCGGAGGCAGCCAGGCGCACUCGCUCCUUCCCUACCGCCCCAGCCCAGUCACCUCGGCCCUUGGCCUGCCUGGCGGCCUCCGUGUCCUCAGGGCGACCCUCCCUGCGCCCGGGCUCCUUCGGGAGGCACUACGGGCUGGCUUCUCACCGCGCCUGGCCGUGCAUCGUGGCUCCAGUCACAACUCGCGGCCGCCUGGGCGCACAGCCCCGCAUCGCUCGGCCCACGCUCUGUCUGCCUCCGUCUAACCCCACAGUCGCUCGACUUUCUCUCCUUUUCCUUUUCCCCUUCUUUUUUUCGUUGUGGUGGCAAAUCUGGGUUUCCUUUCUAGCCUCCUUCCUUUUUUUGUGUGUGUUUCUUUUGCAGCGGGAGGAGUCGGGGAGGAGGGGGGCAGCUUGGAGAGCUUAAAAAAAAAAAAUGUCCUGGCGCAGCGGCUACAGUAGGCCGGCGGCUGGAACGGCUCGGCGCGGACCGCCGCUGUCGCCGCCCGGGCCGCGGCUCGUUGCUGGCCCUCCCCGGGCGCGUCCCUCAGUCCCUGGUCUCCUGGCCCAGUCGCCGCCCCGGUGCGUCUCUCCCCAGCUCCGGCGGCUCGGUCACUGCUCCUGGCUGUUGGCUGAGCUCUGGAAGCCCCCUCGCCUUAAUGCAGCGCCCGCCGACGUCACUGCGGCCUGCGACCAAUCAGCGCCUCGCGGUCCCUCUGUAAACCAUUCUGCAUCCCCCGGCCCGGGAGAGUGCGGGGAGACCGCGUUUAGAGGAUCAGUGGCGGCGGCACCCGCGGCCCCGCGCGGCGCGGACGGCGGGCAGCACCGUGCCUGGGCCCCCUCCUGCUCCGGUUCCAGAAUGACGCUCGGCCCAUGGACAGAGCCUGCCCAGUCACUCUCGGCUGCUAUUGAUCCCGAGGAUGAUGGCCGCCCCUAGCCAUUUCCCUCCUCUCUCUUCGGUUCCAGAACAGCCCAAGGAGCAGAAAAGAGUGACAAGGCCGUGAAAGGAGGCGCCUGGGGCGUAGCCGGCUCUAGGAGGUUACCCCAUGCGGAGUACACACCCUGCUACACCCAUCCCGGAGGAGGGAGGAAAUAGCCAGCCCGGAGCACCCCUGGACUCUGCCGGUCCCAGAGGCCACGCAAACUCCGCCCAGACUCGGUGAGGCCGCGGUAAUGCCACGCAGGGAACUGCGUGGAUAAGGUCGCUCGGAUCUGAGCGCCAAGGUCUCCCGCCUCUCCUUCCCGUCUAGUUCUCUCCGGACUCAAAUUGCCUUAAUCUCACCCAUCACUCUGUCAUGGAAAUGAUCUACUCGUGUGCAGUACUUUACAGCUUGUAUCACGGUCUCCCCUGAACCGUAUAGCAAGAGGGUGGUGGGGGGUGGAAGAGAAGGGUACCAUCUCCACUUUCCCGGCCAGGAGGCCCAAGUUAGGAGGCUUGUCCGAGAUCCCUAGGUCAGCGCACUAUUUAAGGUGAGAAGUUGGGUGGAGAGCUUGGCACCUUGCUCCAGUGUGCACUUUGCGCCUGGCCAUGUUUUAUAAGCAAGGGGGGCUUGGGCUGUUUAAGGGGGAGCAGGGACCGCAGGGCCAGGAAAGGGCAGCAUCCGGCAGGCCGGGGCGUCACGGUGUGUGCCUGGCCUGGGUAAACAACUCCGGCUUCCCACGAGCGCUGGAGGGACCCUGGGCAUGGGGCAGGGGCGUGGGGGAGGGGGGGCAGGGGCGUGGGGUGGGGCAGGGAGCGGGUGGAACAGCGAGGUCAAGCGUGGAGAUUCCAGUUGCGAGUCAGCUCCGCGCCGCGGAGCAAAGACAGGACGUGGAUAAUCUUGGGAGCGAGACGCUGAGCUGAAGAACAGAAAAGAGAGAUAGAGGCAGAAGUGAGGAGAGAGGGACAGGAAAAGAAAAUAAAGGCAGAAAACCAGAGAAAAGAUGAGACGGAGUGCGGAAAAGCAGGCGGGGAUAAAGAAAGGAAAGAUCUGUCGGGGAAAUGCGGGGAGAAGUGGAGGAAAAGAAACAGAAAAUAGACCCAGAGAGAGACCCUGCCACGAAGAAGGCCGCGGGGACGGGCGCGGAGCCGAGGGCCCUGCAGGCACGGAGGGGGCGUCCCGCGGGUCUGGGGGUGUGCGGCUUUGGGACAGGCGAGUGCGUGCUGAGAGAAGGAGGCAGCGUGUUUUGUGGGAGACUCUGCGCCCGUGGAAAAGCGGCUCUGGGCAGGAAUCCAACAAAUAAAUAAAACGUCUAAGACGGCGUGACAACAAUGUGUAUUUGGGUGCGUGCCCGUGUUCCUCUGUCUGAACACAGUCACACCCAGUAAGGAAGACAAACGGGGCUCGUGCCUCACAGUAAUUAAUCCUCUCACUAAUUGACUCUCUCCCCUUACCUAAUGGCGGUGGUCACUGCCGAUAUCUGGAGAGACAUCAAGUAGGGGGAGACAGAGAGAGAGAACCCCAAAGCUAACGACCUUUGGGACUGAGAUUGAGUUUUUUCUGGACUUGGCAGCUCUAAGCCCCUGCCCCCACCUCCACUUUUGGGCAGAGUUCCAUAGAUAUUGCUGCCUUCCUUCCCCCUCCAGGUUUUGGGCAGCAUUAAUAAAGAUCUCCUCAGAUUAGGGUGAUGUGGUUACACACACUGAAGCCCUUCUACCGCCCUCCACCUUGGGAGAUCAGUUUCAGAGGCUGAAAGCCACCCCUGUCCCUGGGACAUUUCUUACCUCCCUGCAAUACCAGCUCCCCCUCCCAUGUUGUUCCCCCAGGGGCCCAGACCCUGCACCCUCUUCUUUCAGGCAGUACUAACUCUUCCAAGGACCUGGGCGGUGUCCCGCAGUCCCCUAAGGCAGGUGAGGUUUUGAACGGGCUGAGAAGCAGUCUGGGGUUGAUGGAAGGAGAGCGGUGGGAGGUCAGGGCAAGGAUGGGGAGAGGCUUCCAGAGACAACCUUCCUCAGACUUGGGUUGAGAGACACAGAGGCGCAGAGAGGCGCAGUUGCCACCAGGCAAGAGAGAGGCCUCUAGGGACAAAGGAGGGAAAGGUGGGCUCUAUGCACUGUGGGAAGGAGCGCCAAGUGUGUGAGAGGCAGGAAGGUGGUCAUGUCUCUGUGACUGUGAGGGUGACAGUUCUGGUCUGUCUGUGUGAGCAUGGGGAAGCCCCCUAUGUUCCCUCACAGCACCCUCAGUUCUCAGACUGGGGAGAAGAGGCAGGGGACUGGUCUGGGACUUGAUGGUCCCCUUGGUAGCUGAGUUGGCUGGAAGGGGUCCAACACCCACAGUCUGUCUGGUAAUGCAGCUUUGAGGCUUAGGUUUGGGAGGUGAAUGUCAACUCUCACCCCUGUGAGGUGGCAGCUUUGCUCUGUUGGCCUCCUCAGAGGCUAAAUAAAGAAAUGCUGAGAUCUAUAAACCACCCAGCCCAGAGAGAAAAAGGAGGGAGGAAGGGCAGCUCCCUAGAAAAAAAUCCACCCCCUCCCCACCACUAAACACAUUUUUAAUUGUCCCUUGGGAACAUUUGUACAUUUGACCAAAGCAAAUCUCAAAGCAGCAGCAGCAAAAUGAGUCAGAGGGGCUGGUGGUCCAGAGAGAGCUGGGGAUUGGAGAUGGGGAGGUGAGGAGAGGUGGCAGGCAUGUUUGGGAAGGUGAGAAACUUGGCUCCUUUCCCACCAUCUCUGUCAAGCUUUAGAAAGAAAGUGAGCAGGAGAAAUAAAGUUCCAGGGGAAAGAAAGAGAAGGGCAUAUAAAAGGCAAAUCCAACCCAGAAAGGAAAGAAAGUGAAGAAGAAAGAAAAAGGCAGGGAGUGGGGAGAGACUAUAAUAAAAGAGGGUGAAGGCGGCCCCAGGAGGCUGGGCCUCGUCCCAAACCAUCCGUCUUCAUUGUCUCCGUGUGUGCAAAGGCAACUCUGGCAUAAGGAAAACCCACUAUUGGAGCCGAGGCUUUAUUUUAUAUCCUAUACAUCAGGAGGGAGGCAAAGCUUUAUUUUCGCCAAGAGACAGAUAUUUUAUUUCUCUCUUACGGUUUUAUGUGUGAGAGAUGUCAGGUUGCCACAAUGGAUGGCUAAUGCAUAGGCAAGAGGAAGCCGUGUUGGCAUGCUGUGUGUCAUGGGGUCUUGGGGGGGUGAGCGGGCCUGGGAUUUAGGGCUGAUGAGACACUCUGGGGGAUUUGUGCUAAAACAUCUCUCUUCAUAAAUCCAGAAGCAUGGUCAGCUCAACAGGGAGAAGAAGGAGUUUUAGAGGGAAAAGAGUUGGGCUUAGUAAUAAAUGAAUACACAAAGGAACCGCUUACCUUCCAACAGGCUCGGGCAACAGGGGCACGACAGCCCCAUGGAAAUGCAGACACCCAUGUCCACGCACACAAGCGCCAUUCACAGGGAAGUAUUUUCCUGACACGAAAUCCAAUGUCAGUUUCCUUUCCUUUCCCCGUUUUAUAUUUUUCCACCCCCCUUCACCAGAAAUCUUUUUUAACCUCCUCAGAGCCUUGGGGGAAAAGAGCCAUUAAUUUGCAAAUCAUCUGAUCUGUGAAAGGAUCAAGAUGCCUGGUUUUCACUGCUAAAUCCAACGUCUUGAGUGGACACAGAGGCACACACAAGCCCGUCAUGCUGCCAACCCUUGGGAGCAUAGGUGCCAGAUCUGAAGCCAAGAAAAGACUCCCUCUCCUCCCGGGACCUGCAGCUGAAUUAAGCCUUAGAUUCCAAACUGCAUAAUGUUCAUAUUUUUAAACCUGGAGAGAAGUGGAGAGAUGAAGGGGGACAAAAAGAGGGGGAACUUUGUUAAUUAACGUGUUCCAUUCAGGACUUAGACUAAUUGUCUUCCCCACUUCCAGCCGCCCCCCAACCCAAGCCAUUUCUUACAGGAGUUGCUUUUAUUCAUUCUCAUGUUCUACUUUUCUCAUUUUUGGAUUAAUAUCUACUUGUUUAAUAUCUACUGUGGCGCAAAAACGUGACCACGCUCUUUCUUUUCAGAGGGUUGGAAGCAGCACAGGAUUCCUAGACAAGGAGCUUGGAGACUUGGCUACACUGUCCCUGGCCAUUGGGGAAGACGUUUACCCUUUCCGGGCCUCAGUUUUCUCAUCUGUAACAUGAGGUGAUUCGGCUAAAUGAUUACUGAGGUCCCUUCCAGCUCCGACCUCCUCUGGCCGAAUGAGAUAAUGUGUGAAAACACUUUGUGAACACUAACACCAGACAGAUGCCAGGGAUCAUUAUUGCAAUUCUAAUCAAUCCUCUUUUCUCCACAUGGAUCUUGGCUGUUUAGUGCCAGCAAGCAGGCUAAAGGGGGCUGAAAGCAAGAAAGCUUAGCGGACAUGGAAAAGCUCUGUGCAGUGGGAGGAAAAAAAAAAAAAACCCUGCAUCUCCAGAAACAUUGUGUCUCUGUGUGCCCCCUGAGGCCUAGUGGGAAGGGUUGGGGAAGAGGAGGCCUGACUUGGUAUGACCCAUUUUGGUCUACAUGGCGGCAGAGAGUGUAUUUCUUCAAAAGCAUUGUUGGUCUCCAAGUGACUGACAUGGGAACCUGAUGGGAAGGCGAUUUGCAAUUGUUUUUUUCCAGGAAGAAAGAAAGAGCAAGGUGUAGCUGAUUAGCAAGUUAAUUAUUUCAGUACCCCAAGGGUUCCAGUGUGGUGGUAAGUUGUCCAGCCCUGGUGUAAUUUCACAGUCUGUGCAUUUCCUGGCGAGCACCUGGGGUGCCCGAGUCUGUCUCUUUCUCCUUCCACCUGCCUUGUGUCUUCCUGACACACCUGGGGAGAUGAGCAGGGGCUGGGGAGGUUGAUGGUACAAGGUACACAUUCGGCUUAGGCUGCGGGUGGGGGCCACGCCAAGAACAGGGUGGAGGAAGCCCAACUGAUGCCAUCUACCUCCGCUGAGUGUUUAAUUAUCUGGCCCUUUCUUCUUUAAAAAAAAAUCUUUUGUUUAAUAAAUAUUAAUGAGGCGGGUUAUCGGAAAGUGUAGUUGCCAUGAGGUUAUUUCCCCAGCCUUAGCAUGGAAAGAAACUGGGUUUGAGGAGCCUUUCGGCCCCUCACCGCCUUCUACCCCCACCAGCUCUCCCGUGCUCACGUUCCGCAGCAGCUCUUCCGGUCUCACUUCAAGAUUUGAUUUCCCCUUGGGGGAGGGUAGGGGAGGGAAGAUCAUGUGGUCAAAUGGACACUUCCCCUCGGAGAGAUAAGUUGGAGAUGUGAACAUUAGCCUCAAGAAUUAACAGCUUCUGCCGCUCUCUGCUCUCGGGGCUGAGAGGGCCAGCCCCCCGCUGCUCCUUCCGCGAUGGAUGAAGGGAGGGCUCUACAGUUUACUUAAGAGUGGUCCCAUCUGCUCAGACUGGCCUUUCAUAAGGGGAGGGAUUUAUGCAGUGUCCUUGUGCACAGACCUGGGAUUUGGCUGAAAACCUUGGGCCUCUGAGAAUAUUACUGAACGCUAAAACGUUCAGCCAUGGAGAUGAUUCAUGAUUUUGUCUGCAUGGACAGUGUGUGUGUGUGUGUGUGUGUGUGUGUGUGUGUGUGUGUUUGUUUGGGGUUGCACGCACAGUGAUGAUGGGUGCUAUUCACCGUUCUCACUUUGAAUCCAAAUGUUAGGAAACUUUUUUUCCUUCUGUAUUCACUCAGGAGACAGGCCCUGGCACCAGGCUCUGGAGACCCCACUUCCUGACUCCAGCGGUGCGAAGAUGAUACAAUACUUUCUGGUGCUGACAUUCAGCUGUCCCCCAAACAGGUUGGCUGAUAGCCCUGCCCGUCCUUGAAGAGGGGCCGAGGGCUGUCUAAAAAGACAGUUCUGAUGACUGCUUCGUUGCUAGUGGCAGAGGAUUUGGGGCACAGGGGUGGAGUUAAGUCCAAUUGCUGUUUAAAUUGGACUUGGCCUCCUUUAUUUUACAGUCCUAAGGGGUCUCCAUAGGAGAAAAAGUAGCGAGAGCAACUUAGAACACAGGAAAGCAAGCAUAGGGAAGAGUUUCUUGUCUCAAUCUUGGUACUGCCGUGCCAAAAUGAAGCCCAGGGAUGGUUAAAAACGGAUCCUAGGGACCGGGCACCUUGGCUCAGGCCUGUAAUCCCAGCACUUUGGGAGAUCAAGAUGGGAGGAUUGCUUGAGGCUAGGAGUUCGAGACCAGCCUGGCCAACAUAGUGAGACCUCAUCUCCAAAAAUAAAAACUUAAAAAAAAAUUUAAAAAACAAAAACAAAAAUACAGAUCCUAGGGAACAGAGCUUUGAGGUUCCCUGUGGGAUCUUGGCCUGACUCUUGGGAGAUGAAGAAGUCCUUGGCAAGUUUGAAAAGAUCUACAAGUGCCAUCUAUUCAGGGGACUAAAUGUGAUUUCUUUUCACCGCCCAGUGGCUGGUAAGGAAGGAAGCAUUUUGCAUUUUCAGCUUGUAGGAUGGUUAUUGGUGGUCCUACCAUCUUGCUCAUGUUCAAGUUUGGUCGUGUAGAUGAAGACCCCAGCUUCCCAGCUCUUAGUUUUUCUUUUCCCUCAGGCCAUUCAUAAUUUAGCUAACAUUCUAGUCCAUUGACCAGCAUGCAUUUUGAAAGGUGAGCUGGCAAGCCUGUAACUGUGUGCAAGGUUGUUCUCAUUUAGGCUCCAGGAAGGAUAUAGUUUCCCCAUAAGAAAGAAAAGUGGGCGAGAGGCUGAGGUGGGAGGUCGCUUGAGUCCGGGAGGCAAAGAUUGCAGUGAGCUGAGAACCAUGCCACUCACUGCCUUCCAGCUUGGGUGACAGAGUGAGACCCCAUCUCGAAAAAAAAGAAAAAAAAGAAAAAGAAAGAAAGAAAAAAAUAAAUAAAACAAGGAACUAUUUAUAUUAAUCUUUUAAUGAAGGAUUUACCAAUCUGAUAAGUACAAAGCUCCUUUUCCUCCUUCUGAAUGAGUAACUAUGUCAGUCAAUGUUGAGGGUCUGCAGAACCUAUACAAAAAUGCUUUCUUUGGUCUCUCAGUUUUAACACAUGCUGGGGCUUGGGCCUGCCUCUGACAGACUGGGGAGGAGUAGACACAUUCCAGAGACCAGGUCUUGGAGUGUUAUCUCUUCCCCCACCUCAAAUCCUCACCCUCCACUUUAUCUGUCUUUAGCACGAAUGCAGAGACCUCCUAGGGAAGUGUGAAGGGAUGGGUUUUCGUCAGGUUUGGGGAAGGAAGGGGAAUAAGAUGAGCCCCAAAGAAAGAUGGGGGUCAUUUGGAAUUUUUAGAUGACACUCUUUUGUUAUACUUUUCUUGUGUUGUGUAUUAUGUCCUACAAAUCGUGCAUUUGUUACAGUAAGCCACAGUGUGUAUGUGUGUUUGCCAAGUGCUACUUGGCCAAAACAGUGUUAAAUAAAAUUGUAAGAAAUGCU
rnacentral:lncRNA from 1 species